UCCUUGGGGUNCUAGUUGAGAGCCUUUGC
rnacentral:piRNA from 1 species